UCAGAGUUGACAUGGCUCAGGACGAACGCUGGCGGCGCGCCUAACACAUGCAAGUCGAACGGAGCUGAGAGGAGCUUGCUUUUCUUAGCUUAGUGGCGAACGGGUGAGUAACGCGUGAGUAACCUGCCCUGGAGUGGGGGACAACAGUUGGAAACGACUGCUAAUACCGCAUAAGCCCACGGCCCGGCAUCGGGCUGAGGGAAAAGGAUUUAUUCGCUUCAGGAUGGACUCGCGUCCAAUUAGCUAGUUGGUG
rnacentral:rRNA from 1 species